rnacentral:misc_RNA from 1 species
GUUGAAGAACGCAGCGAAAUGCGAUAAGUGAUGUGAAUUGCAGAAUUCAGUGAAUCAUCGAAUCUUUGAACGCACCUUGCACCCUUUGGCAUUCCGAAGGGUAUGCUCGUUUGAGUGUCAUUGUACUCUCACUCUCCCGAUACUUUUGGAUCGGGAGUGGUGGACUUGGGUGCUGCUGCUUAACUGUGGCUCGCCUUAAAUGAAGUAGUGCAACUCUCGGUUGGACAUAGUACGGCGUGAUAAGUGUCUUCGCCGGCGCCUCAUUCGAGGGUGGCCGAUCGGGAGCUCUGUGCUUCAAACUGUCUUCGGACAACAUCUGACAACUUGACCUCAAAUCGAGUAGGACUACCCGCUGAACUUAAGCAUAUCAAUAAGCGGAGGA